GUGCUCGCUUUGGCAACACAUAUACACACAGAUUAGUAUGGCCCCUGCACAAGGAUGACACGGAUAUUCGUGAAGUGUUCCAUAUUUUU
rnacentral:snRNA from 1 species